AGCUCUUGCUCUUGCUCCUGCUCCUUCGCCUGCUUGCUGCGUGAGACUGAGUAACUGCUAGAUCCUUGGACUUCCAUUCACAGCUGUGACUGAACAAUUGUUGGGAAUUGAGCUGCCGACUCCCUAGAAGUGGUCAGAAACACUGCCUGGGAGCAGCUCAAGGAGGCCUACGAACCAGGAGAUUUGAUGGUACCUCACCAGUUCCAGGUGGGAGAUACAGUUCUCGUCAGACGACAUCGAGCUGGCAAUCUAGAACCUCGUUGGAAAGGCCCUUACAUCGUGCUACUGACCACCCCCACUGCUGUCAAAGUAGAAGGCAUCUCUGCUUGGAUUCACGCCUCUCACGUAAAGCGAGCUCCUGGAGAACUUCAAGAUGAAUGGGAAUUGGAAAGGACUGAUAACCCUCUUAAGUUACGCCUAUGUCGUCGGCGCCAUCCUGAAAGAGAAGAAUGACAACCCACACCAGCCUAUGACUCUCACUUGAUUUUUUUUUGGUAUGUGUGUAUCCAGUUGAAGAAGAGACAAUUAUGAACGAAUGAACGUCAGUGGGCUGGAAAACAAAAACAGCACAGACAGAUAAAAGUUGCCACGGAGUGGGUCCAGUGGGUCCUCUUCAAUCCUGAUUUCAAACCUUCCUGAUUCAGUGGGAAUCAGGGGUUCCAGCAGAUGGGCAUAGAGUCGGCGGGAAUUGGGGUGACAAACAGACAAGACAACAGACACGACACAAGGGGGUGUGGAUCUGAAGCCCGAGGGGUCCUGAGGUGACAGCGCCUGGAAGUGGGACUGGAGGAGCCGGCGGAGGAGAAGAUGGACAGGGCCAGGCCUGGGCGUCGGCGAGCUUCAUCAGCCUCCAGCAUCUUCCAAAAGUGAUUCGAAAGUCAAAGGAUUUGAAGCCGGGUUUUUUGUUGUUGUUGUGUUUUUGUUUUUGUUUUUUUAUCUCAGCCCAUUUUUUGGAAUUGUUUUAAGACUUGAAACUCAAGAACCUCUUUUAAGUUUUGUAUAAAAUUGAGAUAGAGCUCCGCCCCGUCGACAAGUUAUUGUUAUCCAUCUCAUCUGUUAAGUGCACCUCUUAAUUCCUGGAGUCAGCUCCCGUGUGCAUAGAAAUGCACUGUCUAGUACAUAAAACAGUGUCGAUG
rnacentral:lncRNA from 1 species